rnacentral:rRNA from 1 species
GACGAACGCUGGCGGCGUGCUUAACACAUGCAAGUCGAACGGAAAGGCCCUGCUUUUGUGGGGUGCUCGAGUGGCGAACGGGUGAGUUACACGUGAGUAACCUGCCCUUGACUUUGUGAUAACUUCAGGAAACUGGGGCUACUACCGGCUAGGAGCUCCUGCUGCAUGGUGGGGGUUGGAAAGUUUCGGCGGUUGUGGAUGGACUCGCGGCUUAUCAGCUUGUUGGUUGGGUAGUGGCUUACCAAGGGUUUGACGGGUAGCCGGCCUGGGAGGGGGAACGGCCACAUUGGGACUGAGGGACGGCGCAGACUGCAACGGGAGACAGCAGUGGGGAGCAUUGCACAGUGGGCGCAAGCGUGAGGCGGAAACGCCGCGUGCGGAAUGAAGGCUUUGGGGUUGUAAACCGCUUUCGCCUGUGACGAAGCGUGAGUGACGGUAAUGGGUAAAGAAGCACCGGCUAACUACGUG